rnacentral:rRNA from 1 species
ACUGCCUACGGGACGCAGCAGUGAGGAAUAUUGGUCAAUGGGCGGGAGCCUGAACCAGCCAAGUCGCGUGAGGGAAGACGGUCCUAUGGAUUGUAAACCUCUUUAGGCGGGGAGCAAUGCCGGGCACGCGUGCCCGGAGGGAGAGUACCCGCAGAAUAAGCAUCGGCUAACUCCGUGCCAGCAGCCGCGGUAAUACGUAGGUGGCAAGCGUUGUCCGGAAUUACCGGGUGUAAAGGGAGCGCAGGCGGGAAGCCAAGUCAGCUGUGAAAACUACGGGCUUAACUUGUAGA